CUACCCGCUAUUGGAGUUCGAUUAAGCCAUGCGAGUCGAGAGUCCUCGGGACUCGGCGUACCGCUCAGUAACACGUGGGUAACCUGCCCUAUGCUGGGGAAUAACCUCGGGAAACUGAGAACAAUGCCCCAUAGCCCACUACGCCUGGAACGGUGAGUGGGUCAAAGCUCCGGCGGCAUAGGAUGGGCCUGCGCCGUAUCAGGUUGUAGGGGGUGUAAAGUACCCUCUAGCCAUCAACGCGUACGGGUGUUGGGAGACAUUGCCCGGAGAUGGAUUCUGAGACACGAAUCCAGACCCUACGGGGUGCAGCAGGCGCGAAAACUUGGCAAUGCGAGAAAUCGUGACCAGGGAACUCCAAGUGCGUAGGGUAAGACCUACGCUUUUCUUGACUCUUCAAAGGUCUUGGAAUAAGGGGUGGGUAAGGACGGUGCCAGCCGCCGCGGUAAUACCGGCGCCUCAAGUGGUAGUCGCUUUUAUUGGGCCUAGAACGUCCGUAGCCGGUCUGGUGCAUUCGUGGGUAAAUCAACCCGCUCAACGGGUUGAAUUCUGCGAGCACGGCCAGACUUGGGACCGGGAGAGGUGUGGGGUACUCUCAGGGUAGGGGGUAAAAUCCUGUCAUCCUGAGAGGACCACCUGUUGCGAAGGCGCCACACUAGAACGGAUCCGACGGUCAGGGACGAAACCUAGGGGCACGAACCGGAUUAGAUACCCGGGGUAGUCCUAGGUGUAAACGCUGUGGACUUGAUGUUGGGGGCGCUCCGAGCGCUCUCAGUGUCGAAGCGAAGGUGAUAAGUCCACUGCCUGGGGAGUAC
rnacentral:rRNA from 1 species